CCUACCACCCCGUCCUAUUUGCCCUAACAUUCCUCCUUUUGAAAGAGAGAAUUCUUCUGUUCCCGCUUCUGCUGCUCUAAGUACAACUUUACUCCGCCCUGCUGCCAGCGUGGGUAUGUCCGCUUCAUCAACUCAGACCACACCAAAUAAUACAAGAGUACAGGAGGAGAUGUCAUGACUUUUUCCUGGGCAUUUCAGAAGAGGUGGACUGAAACCCAAAAGAGGACAAAAAAGAUUUUCUCAGCCUCCGAAAGCCACAGAUAAAAGCAUAGCACUCACAGUGUUUGCUCUCCCAAGGCCAACAGGGAAAAUUCCCAUGGUCAAUUCUGAGCUAAAGUUGAUGUGUCAGUGAACGUGACUGCGUCAGUCCCAGAGGAAUCUGACCAUAAUCAGAGUCGUUGGCUCUUUCAACAGGAAUUUACCAAACUACAGGCUCUAGAUGGUGAUUGGCUCUUUUAUAAGGCUUCAGGUGGCAGUGGCCAAAGGAACCUGUCACUGUCUAUUCCAGAAUUGGAGGGGUACACUGGCAAACAGCCAAAAACAAUUUCCAAUGGAGGAAAGGGCAUCUUUAAGGGCAUCCUGAUCUCCAUUGCAUCAUGAUGAUUACUUGAAUUACAGUUUUACAGAUUGCAUUGCUCUUCAAUUGAUUGAUCCAUUUAUAAUGCCUUCACAUUGUGUAUUUUCAGCUUGGAAAAGUGUUGCUGACCCUCAUAGGUCGACUGAAGAGUUCAGGAGGUAUUUGCUUGGCCAUAAAGAGGAGAUGCCUCCUCUUCGGUUAAGCAUUGAUAUCCAUGAAGUUGUGGAUAAGAAGGAGAUGGCCAUAAUCGGCUUCUAUAAGAGCAGCCACACUGACUGGGCGAGGCCCUUAAGAUGCA